AAUCAACGCUGGCGGCGUGCCUCAGACAUGCAAGUCGAACGAUUAAAGCUCUCUUCGGAGAGUGUAUAGAGUGGCGCACGGGUGAGUAACACGUAAGUAAUCUACCUUCGAGUGGGGAAUAACGUCCGGAAACGGACGCUAAUACCGCAUAAUGCAGCGGCAUCGCAAGAUGACAGUUGUUAAAGAUUUAUCGCUUGAAGAGGAGCUUGCGGCAGAUUAGCUAGUUGGUAAGGUAAUGGCUUACCAAGGCUACGAUCUGUAACCGGUCUAAGAGGACGGUCGGUCACACUGACACUGAAUAACGGGUCAGACUCCUACGGGAGGCAGCAGUCGGGAAUUUUGGGCAAUGGGCGAAAGCCUGACCCAGCAACGCCGCGUGAAGGAUGAAGUAUUUCGGUAUGUAAACUUCGAAAGAAUGGGAAGAAUCAAUGACGGUA
rnacentral:rRNA from 1 species